GGACCCGACUGCUAUCAGAGUGGGAAUAAGCCCUGCGAGUCAACAUAGCAAUAUGUGGCAUACGGGUCAGUAACACGUAGUCAACAUGCCCAGGGGACGUGGAUAACCUCGGGAAAAUGAGGAUAAACCGCGAUAGGUCAUCACUUUUGGAAUGGGUAAUGACUUAAACCUAUAUGGCCCCUGGAUUGGACUGCGGCCGAUCAGGCUGUUGGUGAGGUAAUGGCCCACCAAACCUGUAACCGGUACGGGCUUUGAGAGGAGGAGCCCGGAGAUGGGCACUGAGACAAGGGCCCCGGCCCUAUGGGGCGCAGCAGGCGCGAAACCUUUGCAAUAGGGGAAAGCUUGACAGGGUUACUUUGAGUGAUUUCCGUUAAGGAGAUCUUUUGGCACCUCUAAAAAAGGUGCAGAAUAAGGGGUGGGCAAGUUUGGUGU
rnacentral:rRNA from 1 species